rnacentral:lncRNA from 1 species
ACUUACAACAACCCUUCAUUUGUAAGCACAAUAUCAUUAUAUUUUCUACAUACUAUCUUCCAAGCUAUUUUGUCAUCUAAUUCGUUAUAGUUGGUUGCAAUGAAGCAUUACACUUUCAUUUUUUUUUCUUCUUUUUUUUCAUUAAUUUCGCUGACCUCACUCCAACAUAUUCUUUGAAGAUACCAAGGUAAGGUUUAAGAUUGUCUGGUUAUACAUACUUAAAUUCGUCCACCACACAUGUGUUAAAUAUUUGCCACCCUUAAUAUUUAUUAUUAUUUUUUCUAACCAAAGGUUGAUUUUGUUUGAAAACUAACCUGACCACACUAUCUUGCACCUUUGGUUUCGACUAUCAUUAAAGACGUGAAAACGUUUUAUUAUAAACAGAUUUUGGAUCACUUCAACUUUAAUCCAGAAAGCUAUUGUAUAUUUGAUCAACGAUACAUGAUCAAUUUU